rnacentral:rRNA from 1 species
AGCUCCAUUAGCGUAUAUUAAAGUUGUUGCAGUUAAAAAGCUCGUAGUUGGAUUUCGGUGUGGGCCAGUGGGUCGGCCGCGAGGCCUGUUACUGACUGGUCCGCUCUUCCUCUCAAAGACUGCGCGUGCCCUUCGCUGGGUGUGCGUAUUUGGAUUUGGGACGUUUACUUUGAAAAAAUUAGAGUGUUCAAGGCAGGCUCGCCAGCUUGAAUACAUGAGCAUGGAAUAAUGGAAUAGGACUACGGUCCCUAUUUCGUUGGUUUGACGGACCGAAGUAAUGAUUAAUAGGGAUAGUUGGGGGCAUUAGUAUUUAAUUGUCAGAGGUGGAAUUCUUUGAUUUGUUAAAGACUAACCUAUGCGAAAGCAUUUGCCAAGGAUGUUUUCAUUAAUCAAGAACGAA